GCAAGGCCGAAACUUAAAGGGAUUGGCGGGGGAACACUACAAGGGGUGGGGGGUGUGGUUUAAUUAGAUUCAACGCUGGAAACCUCACCAGGGCCGACAGCAGGAUGAAGGUCAGUCUGAAGGGCUUACCUGAUGCGCUGAGAGGUUCUGUACGGCCACUGUCAGCCCGUGUUGUGAAAUAUCCUUUUAACUAAGGUAACGGGCGAGACACCCACCCCAUGUUGCGACCACCUUCUCCGGAAGGUGGGCACAAUUGGGGGACUGCCAGGGCAACCUGGAGGAAGGAGGGGGCGACAGUAGGUCAGUGUGAGCCGAAUCUCCUGGGCAACACGCGGCAUACAGGGGCCAGGACAGAGGGUUCCAACUCCGAAAGGAGAAGGUAAUCCCUAAACCUGGCCGAGGUUCGGAUUGAGGGCUGGAACUCGCCCUCAUGAAGCUGGAAUCCCUAGUAAUCGCGUGUCAUUAACGCGCGGUGAAUAUGUCCCUGCUUCUUACACACACCGCCCGUCAAGUCAUCUGAGUGAGGUUGGAAUGAAGCCUAUUCUUCGGGAUAGGUUGAUUUCUGGUUUCGCGAGGAGGGCUAAGUCGUAA
rnacentral:rRNA from 1 species